ensembl:lncRNA
GGCCGCCGCCACCACUGAAGACCCGCUCUGUGCUCCGGGGUGACGACGUCCUCCUGCCCUGUGAUCGGCCGUCCAACCUGGCCCGGGCCUUGUGGCUGCUCAAUGGGAGCAAAAGCCUGAGCGAUGGGCAGGACGGCUACCGUGUGGGCGUCGACGGGCUGCUGGUGACCGACACACAGCCCAAGCACAGCGGCACCUAUGGCUGCUUUGCUGAGGAGAACGGCCUGCGAAUCCUGCUGGCCGCCUACCGCCUCACGGUGCGGCCAGCCACUCCUGCCCCGGCCCCACAAGCCCCCGCUGCGAACGAGGCGCACCCGGCCCCAGACCCGAGGCUGCUCUACCUGCUUGCCAUUGCUGCCCUCGGGGGCCUCUGCCUUGUCUUGGCCUUCUCCCUCCUCUACGUGGCUUGUCUGCGCGGAGGGGCAGGAGGGCGCCGACGGAAGUACUCGCUGGGGCGGGCUGGCCGGGCAGGGGCUCUGCCGUGCAGCUGCAGACGGUCUCAGGCCAGUGUCCCGAGGAGGAAGACGAGGGCCAGGAUGGGGACGGGGCUGCAGGCCUGGGAGGCAGCUGCCUGCAGACCAUCCCUGGAGAGGCCCCAGCCCCGCCCCCGCCGCCGCCGCCGCCCCCGGCUGAACUGACCAAUGGGCUGGCCGCCCUGCCCCGCCGGCUUCGAAGGGUGAAUGGCAGCAGCUAUGUGCUGCUGAGGCAGAGCAGCAACGGGGUGCCGGCAGGGCCUUGCUCCUUUGCCGAAGAGCUCAGCCGCAUCCUGGAGAAGAGGAAGCACGCACAGCUGGUAGAGCAGCUGGACGAGAGCUCUGUGUGAGCCUGGCCUCCCCAGCAGAUGCUCUGGGCCCCUGCCUCCCGGGCACACCCAGCCCUCCACACCCUCGCUCCAUGCCCUUCUCCCGACUCCUUGAUUCUCAGUAGGGCUAGCCAGUUAGGCCAGCCAAAGCCCCUCCUCAGUCUCCAAGACCCACCUGUGAGCAGCCCAGGCCCACCGGUGCUCCUCAGAGGGCUCUGCAGGUCCAGAUGGCCGCAGUGUUACCACCCUCUGCAUGUCCCUGUGUGCUGGAUACUCCUGAAGCCACACAAAACCUCUGCCAGCCACUCGGCCCUGCGUACAUUCACACGUGCACAUGGAAGAAUGUGUCAGCUGGGCUGCCAGGCCCCACUCCCAUGUUCUCCCUGUGCAUUCUUGUGCUUCAUCCUUCGGGAUUUGGGGUACCCUCCUGGUUGUCACAUCCCUUUCCCAGUCCCAGGUGGUGACCCCAUUGGCAAGGGCUUGGCCACAGGCCAGCCUGGGAGGUAAGGUGGCAUCAGUCUCCUUCUCGUGCAGCCCUUGCGAGUCCUCUUACCCAUUCCCUCGGUCACACAGAAGCGUGACAGGCACCUCCGGGCAUGUCCCUUCCCUGGGCACCUGUGCUGCACGUGCUAACACUUCUACCCACGUGCACCUUCUGAGCCUCCCUUGCUGCCAGACUUGUGUCUGUUGGGUUAGGUCCAUGGACAUUUCAAAGGGAGAUUCCGCCUCCUUUAGCUGACCUUGGAGACCCUUCCCUGGACGGGUGACCAACACUGCACUCAUUGAGCCAGCCUCCCUUCUGGGGACCAAGCAUUUGCUUCCCCUAGACCAAAGCAGGGGAAAGAACUGUCUCACCUGGCAUACAAAGCCCAUUCUUGGAACUAUGCAAAGGGCAGAGGCUAGGAAUUUGGAUGCUUGGCUCCCACUCCUGUCCUACCUCACCGGGGCACUUUUAAGGUCCAGGGGCCUCUGAAGUCUCCAGGCCCAUAUGGUACAAUCAAUCCAGAUUGAGCCCAUUCCCUUUGGGUGAGGAUGACUGUUAUUUUUGUAGCUGAGAACAUGGAAUCCCACGAGUUUUUACUGUCCCUCACCCAACCUCUCCCACCUCCAGCCCACAAUGAAUGUAUUUAUUGUGAGAAUGGCUGUAUUGGAGGAAUGCCCUCACUCGGCCCCAGGUGGGUGGAACAGGCAUGUGACAGUGGGGAGCCUGGGCUCAGCUCCUCCCAAUGUUGGUUAAUAAAUG